UAUAUAUAUCAUAAGUAUAAAAUUAAUUUCAUUUUAUGACUUUUAAAGUUAACAAUAAAAUGUUCUCUGAAGCUGAUCUAGUAGCUUUUGCAUUUCGAAUUUGUGGUCAAUUCAGAUCUAGGAAGUUACAGCGGAAACGAUGUCGUUUAUAUAUCAACUACUUGAUUAAGUUUGAAAAAUAAAAAUUCAUGACUUAGUGUAAACUUAACUUUGAUCUUUUUAUCGUCAAGUAAAACUGCAGUACUUAGUCGUUUACUAUGUUUUGUUCGAUACUAUGUUUGUACUUAAGUUUACAAAUGAAGAAUUUACUUGGCAGUCCGCCACUGAUGUCUAGAAGUUUACUUAAUGUUAUUCUGUUAACUACUGUUAUAGGCUAAGCUUCAAGAGUUCAUAUUGAUAUGUGUUUGUUCAAUAUUACAUGCAUAAACAUAGUAAAUUUGAAAGAUGAUAGACACUAUCUAUAAAACUAUUUUACAGACUCUUAUGUUAACACUAUAAUAUAAUGGACAGGAGAACUCUUAUGAUCUUGCACGUCUCCACUGUAAUUGAAAUUCAACAUCAUAAACUUUAGAAAAUAGCACUGAUAUCAUAAACCAAUUAUUCAUGUUAAUUAUUCAUGUUAAUUUCACAAGUAAUUUCACUAUAAUAUAAUGUUUAUUUAGCAUCUUAGUAAUGUUUAAAAUCAAUUUUAAUAUAAAUCUAAUUCUAUAACUAGUUUGAAAAUAUAGUUAGUUUUAAUAUAAAUUCAAUUCUCCUUCUUGUUCUCUUCAAUUAACUUUUUUAUUUUAUAUUUUCAGGAAUAUCUUUGCUAGGGGUUUUACUUGUGAAGAGUGAAGUUCGAUUCGUUUCCAAGAAUCUUACAGUGUGUGUUUCCAGAAGUUGCUGACUUUCUCUACAGGAUAUUGAAGGGUAAAAAGGUUACAGUUGUUGGCAAGAAGAAAAAGUAGAUAUUUAGCAUCCUUUUGACUUGGAUGUAAUUUUGUGUAAUUGUUUUCAUUGAAUUGGAUGUAAUUUUGUUGUUUUGGGUAAAAAUGUUUUGGAUGAUGCAAUUGUUUUCAUUGAAUUAGAUGUAAUUUUAUUGUUGUUUAUUAA